rnacentral:pre_miRNA from 1 species
ACCGUGUUUUCCCGGUUUUCUGUAUCAUCCAUAUCGUGGAAAAACGUCAAAACACGGUGG